GUUUGCGUAAGAUGUUAGCAUUUCCCCCCCGAGAGCAAAGGGAAGCCAUGCUCUGCUCACCCAGAAACAGCAGUGCUGGAGGCCAUGGUGACUGAGCAGCUAGGCUCCCACUCAUCGUACGGGGAGGGGAGACAGGUCCGAGGAAGUGACUCACUGCUGAGUUUCUUGUAUGUCCCCAGCCUAGCAAUAAUAUCUGGGUAGGACCCCUGACUCCAAGGGCUAGUAAGGAGUUCAAAGAAGAAGGGGGCCACAUGGAUGCAAGAAGAGGCACAUCUGGAAACAGACAUACAUGUAGGGAGAGCACCAUGUGAAGAUGAAGGCAAACAUCACAACGGUGCUUCCCCUCUGAGCCAAGGAACACCAGACGCUGAUCCAGGCCUCUUCCGCUCAGCCACCGAAGGAGCCAACCCUGCUGACACCUUGACCUCAGGCUUCCGGUCUCUAGAACUGUGAGACGACCCAUUUCUGUUGUCGAAGCCACCUGGUUUGUGGGGCUCUUUCACAUCAGCUCGAGGGCAGCUACAACAGACUGGUAAUAAAGUUCUGAUGUAUUGGUCACCUUAAUGCCAUUUGAUGGAGAGCACCUGCCAAUGAAAGCCGAGAAGCAGCAGCUGCACCCAGAGGAGGUCAAGCACAGGUGCGGGAGAUGGAGCUUAAACAACCAAGAGACCAGGCACAAGCUUAACUGCAUGACGAUCUCACACGCUAAACAGAGCCUGGACAGGGCCUGAGAAAGCAGGACCCUGGGAGCAGCGGGCAAUCUCUGCAGAAAGCCAGGAUGACCUACACAGGGCUGGCCGCGGCCCCAGACUCCUCCUGCAGACAGGGCCAUCUGGAAACGGCAGUUAGGAGCCAGGUUAAGAGGGCUGGCCUGGGUUGCUGACCUCCGGGGUUGGCAGUCAGCAAAAGGCAGGGAGGACCAGCUCACACACCAAGUCAUUGUGAUUUAAAAAGCACUAGUAUCGAUCAAUCAACUAUCAAGGACCAAGAAAAGUCGAAUUAUAUUAAUUAGUUAUGUUUUCCCUGAUGUGAGUCCUGGGAGAUGCACGUGCCUUUUGUGUACAAAGGAACAAAGGCAAACUACUUAGAUUGAUUGGGUCUGAGCGGUGGCCCUUCUGAGGACAAAUGUCUGAAUGAGGCCCCUCACUCUUGGGUGCUCAGAGGGAGAGGGGACUCUGGGAGAAUCUAGGUCCACUCUCUGUGGCCCUCAGUAAAUUCAGUUCCUGGCUUCCUAGCUGGCCCCUCAAAGAGCAUGUGGACAAGAUGGGGUGUCUCCAACAGCCACACAGAGCACACUCAGGAACCUGGAGCCAAGGAUGACCAUAUGUCCAAGUAGAGAAGACGUUGUCAUCAUUUGAAGGUAUCUGCCUAAGAGGUCUCCCAGCGGACACAGACUUCGGAAGGUCAGAAUCAGAUAUUCAUUUCUUCGGGUUCAGCCUUGGCUCUCCAACCCACCUGUUCUUAAUGCAUAAGCACCUUUGGGACGUCUGCUCAGAAACAUACUGAUCUGCCAGUGGCUCUAGAUUUAUCAAAACUUGUAAUAACUAACACAUAGUGAGUGUCCCUCAUGCCAGGAACUGUAUUAUACUAAGUGCCUCACAUGUACUGGAUCAUUAAAUUAUCACUGGCAAUCC